rnacentral:rRNA from 1 species
CAGCAGCCGCGGUAAUACGUAGGUCCCGAGCGUUGUCCGGAUUUAUUGGGCGUAAAGCGAGCGCAGGCGGUUAGAUAAGUCUGAAGCGAAAGGCAGUGGCUCAACCAUUGUAGGCUUUGGAAACUGUUUAACUUGAGUGCAGAGGGGGAGAGUGGAAUUCCAUGUGUAGCGGUGAAAUGCGUAGAUAUAUGGAGGAACACCGGUGGCGAAAGCGGCUCUCUGGUCUGUAACUGACGCUGAGGCUCGAAAGCGUGGGGAGCGAACAGGAUUAGAUACCCUGGUAGUCCACGCCGUAAACGAUGAGUGCUAGGUGUUAGGUCCUUUCCGGGACUUAGUGCCGCAGCUAACGCAUUAAGCACUCCGCCUGGGGAGUACGACCGCAAGGUUGAAACUCAAAGGAAUUGACGGGGGCCCGCACAAGCGGUGGAGCAUGUGGUUUAAUUCGAAGCAACGCGAAGAACCUUACCAGGCCUUGACAUCCCGAUGCCCGCUCUAGAGAUAGAGCUUUACUUCGGUACAUCGGUGACAGGUGGUGCAUGGUUGUCGUCAGCUCGUGUCGUGAGAUGUUGGGUUAAGUCCCGCAACGAGCGCAACCCUUAUUGUUAGUUGCCAUCAUUCAGUUGGGCACUCUAGCGAGACUGCCGGUAAUAAACCGGAGGAAGGUGGGGAUGACGUCAAAUCAUCAUGUCCCUUAUGACCUGGGCUACACACGUGCUACAAUGGCUGGUACAACGAGUCGCAAGCCGGUGACGGCAAGCUAAUCUCUUAAAGCCAGUCUCAGUUCGGAUUGUAGGCUGCAACUCGCCUACAUGAAGUCGGAAUCGCUAGUAAUCGCGGAUCAGCACGCCGCGGUGAAUACGUUCCCGGGCCUUGUACACACCGCCCGUCACACCACGAGAGUUUGUAACACCCGAAGUCGGUGAGGUAACCGUAAGGAGCCAGCCGCCUAAGGUGGGAUAGAUGAUUGGGGUGAAGUCGUAACAAGGUAGCCGU